UACGUAGGGGGCAAGCGUUAUCCGGAUUUACUGGGUGUAAAGGGAGCGUAGACGGUAAUGUAAGUCUGAUGUGAAAGCCCGGGGCUCAACCCCGGGACUGCAUUGGAAACUAUGUAACUAGAGUACCGGAGAGGUAAGCGGAAUUCCUAGUGUAGCGGUGAAAUGCGUAGAUAUUAGGAGGAACACCAGUGGCGAAGGCGGCUUACUGGACGGAAACUGACGUUGAGGCUCGAAAGCGUGGGGAGCAAACAGG
rnacentral:rRNA from 1 species